AGGAAGCCAAUGUAGGGACUGACAGAAGGGUGUGGCAUGGGAGGUGCGGGCGGACAGGAAGAUAAGCCUCGCCGCCGCAUUCAUUAUGGACUGUAACGGCGCAAGUUGGGAGCACGUAAGACCACUGAGAAGCGGAUUACAGUAGUCAAGGCGAGAAAGGACAGUGGAAUGGACCAACACCUUAGUCGCAUCUGGUGUUAAGUAGGGGCGGAUGCGUGCAAUGUUUUUGAGAUGGAAAUGACAGGAUUUGGCGAUAGAUUGAACAUGAGGCUUGAAGGAGAGGUCGGAGUCAAAGAG